UGUGACUCGAUCAGAUGUUUUACUGCAUCUAUUUAUUUGUUAAGAAGUGGCUUAAGAAGCAUUUACACAGAGAAAAAAAGAUCAGUUUCCACUGAUCAGCAGGGAAUUUUAGACCAUAAGUCAGUUAAUCCAUCUUCAAAUAGAGCAAGAGGAUGAAACUUGGAUCAUACAUUUACAUUAUAAGUUGUUGAUACAAAUGUGUAUGUAAACAUUUACUCUUUACUCCCUGUUAUCCACGUCUUUCAUUCAUGUCAGUUACUUGUUUUGUUUCUUUAUAUUGUAUGUUAAUAUUUUAUUUAUGUUCAAACAUGUUUCUGCCAUUAGACGCUGCUCAUCAGAAUCAUUUAAUGUGCAGGAUGAUUUCUGAGAAAAGUUGCUUUUGCAGGUUCCUCUUUCUUUGACACAUUUUCUAUUUUCAGAGGGAACAUUUUAAAAGAAAGGAAGUGUUUGUCUUUGCGAGUGCAGUGAUCACAAGAUACGUUAAAGGUGUUAAACUGAAGCAAAACCGCAACUAACACACACAGGAGCAGAGAUGAAAAGCUUCCUCUACGACACACUCACAUGAUAUGAAUAAGGCCUUUAAAGUGGAGCAGGAACAGAUCUCAAGCCGUCAGAGAGGAAGUUCAAAAGGAGCCUGAUGACGAGCAGCUGUGUGCAAACGUCUCCGAGCUUCUUUGAAUCAGAGGCCAGCUGUUAGUUUAUUGUGAAGCAGAACACCGGUUGUUGCAGCGUGGGGUCGGAGACUCCGUCAUGUCUCUCUUUGUGAUACUCGGGCUGCUCGUCUGCAUUCAGGCUCAAGGAACCAUUGUGACUCCUGUGUUUGUGCUGAAGGGACGUGAUCUGCUCCUCAAGCUUCAUGCUGAUCCUCCUGAGGGGGUUUUAUAUGUUGACUGGAAAAUCAAUGAAAACGUCACUUUAAAUGUACAAGAGGUCGACAGUGGAGUUUAUUCUGCUGAAGCAGAAACAGAUACAGGAGACAAACUAGUAGCUAAGUACAAGGUCACAGUUCAAGGGCCAGUGUCUCCAGUUGAACUGAUCGUGGACGGAGUGGACAACAGCUCAGAGUCAUGUGACCUCCAUGUGACCUGCAGCACUCACAACUCUCACAUCAGCAGCACUUUCAGAUGUGUCGACCGGGUCUGCAGU